UGCUGACCCGGUGCCUGCACUAAGUUCGGCAUCAAUAUGGUGACCACCUGGGAGCGGGGUCCACCAAGUUGCCUAAGGAUGGCUGAACUGGCCCAGGUCAGAAAGGGAGCAGGUCAGAACUCCCACACCAACCAGUAGUGGGACUGUUCCUGGGCA
ensembl:misc_RNA Metazoa_SRP Metazoan signal recognition particle RNA